rnacentral:lncRNA from 1 species
UCGGUUUUUGUUUUGUUCACAUGAUUUGUGUCCUUUGUGUUUUUGUUUUUCCUUUAAGAACCAAGCUAUUAUGAGAUAGCCCUUCAUUUAUUUAUAGAAUACUUCAUGUGCUCCACUUAUAUCUUUUAAGUAUGAUAUUAUAGAAUUGCUCUUUGUGCUUCACUUAAACCUUUUGAGAAUGGUUUUAUAGAAUGCUUCGUGUGCUUCACUUACAUAUUUUGAGCUUGGAUAUUAGUUAUUCUAUAUUAAUUGUGGAAUGCUCCAUGAACUUCACUUAUAUAUUUUGGAGUAUGAAUAAGGCUAUCAUCUAAAGUGGGUUUGGAAGAGUGUCAACUUUAGGAAUUAGUGAUCCCACUAUUCCGAAUGAGAAGAAUUUUGUUUAUGUGGAUAGUAGUAAAAUUUCUAUGCUUAUAGAUCAUGAAAAGAAUGCCUUAUGUGAUGGUUAUAUUGUUGAAUUCAUUCAUGAUGCUACUGAAAACUAUUAUGAGGGAGGAAUAUAUGCUUAUAGGAGUUGCAAUAAUAUCAAGUUUCCUCUCUAUGGGCUUAAAGUUUUGAAGUUAUACUUGUUUUGCCUUCCUAUGCUAGUUGAUUCUUGUUUCUAUAAAUUAUGUGCUCACAAAAUCCCUGGGCAUAGGAAGUGGGUUAUAUUUAAAUAUGCUAGUCAUAUUCUUCAUUAUGCUCUCUUUAUGUUUCAAUUCUUAUCCUUUAUGUGAGCAUCAUUGAAAUCAUCAUGCCUAGCUAAAAGGCACUAAAGAAAAGCGCUUGUUGGGAGACAACCCAAUAGCUACCCUUACUGUUUUUGUGUAUUACAUGAUUAAGCUACUGCAGUAAUCAUGUUUUAUAGCUUGUAUUUCAAUAAAGUGCCAAGUAAGACCUUUGGGAACACUUGGGUGAAAGUUAAUGUGAUCUUGCUGUAAAAAACAGAAACUUUGCGCUCACGGGAUUAGCUACCAAUUUUUACAAAAGAGUGAUUUUGAGUUGAUUCUUUUUGCAGAAGAUUAAUAGACAAAUUCCUCACGUCCACCAAUUUAUUUCAUAAUUGUUGGAGUAGCAGAAGUAUGGUUGCUGUUCAAAUCAUUACAGACUGUUUUGUUUCUGACAGAUUCUGUUUUCAUUGCAUAGUUUGCUUGUUUUCUAGUUUCUAUGGCUAAUAUUUCUCAAUAUAAAUUGUAGAAAUGAUAUGGUACAGUAGGAAUUGUGUGAGAAAAAUUAUGAACCUUGUCUUUGACAGUACCAAAGUGAAUGGUUUACUCCUUAUCAUACUAACCUAUCUCACGAAGUUCCGUUAAGUUUUGUGUGAUUGAAGUUUUCAAGCUUUGGGUGAGACAUCGAUAUGAGGAGAAUAAGGAGUGGAAAGAACCUAAGCGUGGGGAUUCCCAAGGCACACCAAGGUAAUAUUCAAGGAAGACUCAAGCGCCUAAGCUUGGGGAUGCCCCGGAAGGCAUCCCCUUUUUCGUCUUUGAAACUAUCGAUAUACCUUACUCGGAGCUAUAUUUUUAUUCGUCACAUGAUAUGUGUUUUGCUUGGAGCGUAUUUUCAAUUUUACUUGCUGUUUGAAUAAAAUCAUUGGAUCUGAAAUUUUGAAUGAAAAAUAAUCCUCCCAUGGCUAGUUAAUUAUUUGACUACUCAGUGUUCUUCACUUAUAUCUUUUUGGAGUAGUUUGUCAUUUACUCACGUGCUUCACGUAUAUCCUAUGAGUAAAUGGUUGAAUGAAUUGAAUAUCAUAAAUCUGAAUUUAUAUACGUUUCAUAUGCUUAUGAAAUGGGGAGUAAUGACUUCACACGUAAUAAGUAUAGGUAGUAAACUUAUUGAAAGUUAGCAUACGUAAAAUUGGUCACAUGAACAAUUCAUGAAACAAUACUGAAGGAAGAGAGAUUUCACAUAUAAAUAUACUAUCUUGGACAUCUUUUGUAAUUGUGAGCACUCAUUAAAAUAUGACAUGCUAAAAGGUUGAUGUUGGACAAGGAGGACAACGUAAUGGGUUAUGUUUUCUUAUAUCUGAAAUAAAGUAUAUUGUCUUGGAUCAUCCAACAUGCUCAGCUUGCCUUUCCCCCUCAUGCUAGCCAAAUUAUUUGCACCAAGUAAAGAUACUACUUGUGCUUCCGAAUACCCCUUAAACUAGUUAUGCCAAGAGAGUCCACCAUACCUACCUAUGGAUUGAGUAAGAUCCUUCAAGUAAGUUGUCAUCGGUGCAUGCAAUAAAAAUUGCUCUCUAAAUAUGUAUGAUCUAUUAGUGCGAAGAAAAUAAGCUUUAUACGAACUUGUGAUAGGGAAGAAAUAAAAGCGGCGGACUGCAUAAUAAAGGUCUCUAUCACAAGAGGCAAUAUAAAGUGACGUUCUUUAGCAUUAAGAUUUUGUGCAUCCAACCUUAGAAGCACAUGACAACCUCUGCUUCCCUCUGCGAAGGGCCUAUCUUUUACUUUUAUCUUCUACCCUUAUACAAGAGUCAUGGUGAUCAUCACCUUUCCUUUUUACACUUUUUCCUUUGGCAAGCACAUUGUGUUGGAGCGAUCCAGAUAUAUAUAUAUCCACUUGGAUGUAGGUUUUCAUAAAUUAUUAUUGUUGACAUUACCCUUGAGGUAAAAGGUUGGGAGGCGAAACUAUAAGCCCCUAUCUUUCUCUGUGUCCCAUUAAAACUUUGUACCCAUAAAUAUCACAUGAGUGUUAGCAAUUGUGAAAGAUUAAAUGAUAGUUGAGUAUGUGGAGUUUGCUGGAUCAAAGCUCUUAAAUAGACCCUUCCCGAAAAUAAGAAGAAUUGCAAUUGUUUGAUGACUAAGAGCACUGUUUGUUAGUUUUCAAGAAAGUUUAUGAUCUAUACUUUAACAUGUGAAUAGCUUGUUACUUGAUCAUGAAAAGUUUUAUGAAAUGAGCUACUGUUAUGACAUAUAAUGAUGCUAGAAAAGGUGAAUGAAAUUAUCAUUGAUCAAACUUGUGCACCUGCUAGCAUUCACACUUCAUAAAUUAUUUCUUUUAUCAUUUACCUACUCGAGGACGAGUAGGAAUUAAGCUUGGGGAUGCUGAUACGUCUCCAACAUAUCUAUAAUUUAUAGAGUAUUCAUGCUAUUAUAUUAUCCAUCUUAGAUGUUUUAUAUGCAUUUAUAUUCUAUUUUAUAUGAUUUUUGGGACUAGCCUAUUAACCUAGAGCCCAGUGCCAGUUUCUGUUUUUUCCUUCUUUUUGAGUUUUACAUAAAAGGAAUACCAAAUGGAGUCCAAUCGACAUGCCAAUUUUUGUUGAUUUUUUAUGGACCAAAAGAAGCCCCUGGAGAAAAAGAGUUGGGCCAGAAGAGUCCCGGGCUGUCCACGAGGGUGGGGGGCGCGCCCACCCCCCUGGGCGUGGGCCCCUGCCUCGUGGACGACUCGGAGACCCCCUGACGCGAAACCAACGCCAAAAAUUCCUAUAAAUACAGAAACCCCUAGAAAAUAACCUAGAUCGGAAGUUCCGCCACCGCAAGCCUCUGUAGCCACGAGAAAUCAAUCUAGGCCCUCUCUGGCACCCUGCCGGAGGGGGCCAUCAUCACCGGUGGCUAUGGAGGCGGAUCCCGGAGAGGCCAUCAUCGCCAUGAAGGCCAAGGACCAGAGGGAGAACCUCUCCCCAUCUAGGGGGAGGCCAUGGAGGAGGAAGCACAAGGGGGAGAACCUCUCCUCCUCUCUCUCGGUGGCGCCGGAGUGCCAUCGGGAGGGGAAUCAUCGCCGUGGUGAUCGUCUUCAUCAACAUCACCAUCAUCAUCAUCAUCCUCAUCUCUUUUACGCGGUCCACUCUCCCGCACCCCGCUGUAAUCCCUACUUGAACAUGGUGCUUUAUUCCACAUAUUAUGAUCCAAUAAGAGAAAGUAUGUUAGCUUAUGCCUCUCCCUCAUAUGAAAUUGCAAUGACGACUACCGGUCUUGUUAACAAUUGCCUAGGACAAUUCCGCACACCGAUCCAUCAUUAUUCCACACUCGCUAUUUAUAAUAUUUAGUAAUAUAUUCUAACUUUAUGAUAACAGCACCUACUUUUAUGUUUUAGCUCUCCGAUAUCAUGCAAAGUUAUCUUCUUCAUACCCACAACGUACUUUUAUUUCUCAUUUCUAGUUCGAAGCAAACGUUCGGUGUACGUAGAGUCGUAUUUGUGGCAGAUAGGACCUGAGAGAAUAUUGAUCUUACCUUUAGCUCCUUCUGGGUUCGACACUCCAUACUUUUCACUUCCACCAUUGGGAAUUGCUACGAUGAUUCCCUGCACUUGGGGAUUAUCAAGCUCUUUUCUGGGGCCGUUGCCGGGGAGAUAUAGUGUGGGGUUGAUAUUCUCGUGUGUGCUUGUUUGCUUUCUUCACUAAGUUCCUUUUUGUUUCUAUUUAGUUCUGGGUGAAACAUACAAAAAAAUAAGAAUGAAAAUACAAAAAAAUUACUUGCCUUUCAUGACUAAAAAGUUUUUCAAAAAGAGAAGUGAUUGGAAAGUUAUGCAUUGAAGAAGUGAGGGUCGACCUUGAGCACUUGUGUUCAUGCUCACAGAAACAAUGUAGAAUUUUUCGUGGAAGUUUCUCUGUAAAUAAUUAUCCCUUUGUGUAUAUCCACUGUAUUAUAAACAUAAUGUGCCAAGCUUUGGUUUUAGGAUGAUUAGAUUGCUUGUUUACUAUGUGCAGAACAAAAACAGAAACUUUGGCUGUAGCGCGUGAUUUUACAUUUUUUACUGGAAGGUCAAAUGGGUCUGAAACUUUUUGCACGUUACUUCUGUACAAAUUUUUCAAGUUUUCAAAUUUAUUUCAUAAUUUUGGGAGUUACAGAAGUUUAAUGAACUUCCAUAUUACUACAGACUGUCCUGUUUUUGACAGAUUCUGUUUUCCGCGUGUUGUUUGCUUAUUUUGAUGAAUCUAUGGCUAGUAUCGGGGGGUAUGAACCAUAGAGAAGUUGGAAUAAAGUAGGUUUAACACCAAUAUAAAUAAAGAAUGAGUUCAUUAUAGUACCUUAAAGUGGUAGUUUGCUUUAUUACACUAACGGAUCUCACAAAGUUUUUGUUAAAGUUUUGUGUGGAUGAAGUGUUCGAAGAUCGAGGAACAAUCAAUGUGAGAAGAAUAAAGAGAGGCGAGAGUUCAAGAUUGGGGAUGCCCAAGGCACCCCAAGUAUAUAUUUCAAAGGAUACUCAAGCAUCUAAGCUUGGGGAUCCCCCGGUUGGCAUCCCAUCUUUCUUCUUCAACAAAUAUCAGUAUACCUCGGUUUUUGUUUUGUUCACAUGAUUUGUGUCCUUUGUGUUUUUGUUUUUCCUUUAAGAACCAAGCUAUUAUGAGAUAGCCCUUCAUUUAUUUAUAGAAUACUUCAUGUGAUUCACUUAUAUCUUUUAAGUAUGAUCUUAUAGAAUUGCUCUUUGUGCUUCACUUAAACCUUUUGAGAAUGGUUUUAUAGAAUGCUUCGUGUGCUUCACUUACAUAUUUUGAGCUUGGAUAUUAGUUAUUCUAUAUUAAUUGUGGAAUGCUCCAUGAACUUCACUUAUAUAUUUUGGAGUAUGAAUAAGGCUAUCAUCUAAAGUGGGUUUGGAAGAGUGUCAACUUUAGGAAUUAGUGAUCCCACUAUUCCGAAUGAGAAGAAUUUUGUUUAUGUGGAGAGUAGUAAAAUUCCUAUGGUUAUAGAUCAUGAAAAGAAUGCCUUAUGUGAUGGUUAUAUUGUUGAAUUCAUUCAUGAUGCUACUGAAAACUAUUAUGAGGGAGGAAUAUAUGCUUAUAG